CAUUAAAGAGUUCUAUAACUCCCAAACCCAUGUGAACAUACCUAACGUUGCCUCGGCAGGUCGCACCUACCUUGUAGCACCCUACCCUGUAGGGCCUACCCGGGAGGUGCGGGUAAGCCUGCCGGCGGCCCACCAAACUCUGUUUGAUAUUGAAUUCUGAACCUAUAACUAAAUAAGUUAAAACUUUCAACAACGGAUCUCUUGGUUCUGGCAUCGAUGAAGAACGCAGCGAAAUGCGAUAAGUAAUGUGAAUUGCAGAAUUCAGUGAAUCAUCGAAUCUUUGAACGCAUAUUGCGCCCAUUAGUAUUCUAGUGGGCAGGACCGUUCGAGCGUCAUUUCAACCCUUAAGCCUUCGUUGCUUAGUGUUGGGAGCCUACGGCAACGUAGCUCCUCAAAGUUAGUGGCGGAGUUGGUUCACACUCUAGACGUAGUAAUUUUUUAUCUCGCCUAUUAGUUGGACUAAUCCCCUGCCGUAAAACCCCCAAUUUAUCAAGGUUGACCUCGAAUCGGUUCAGACAAACUCGCUAAAUUGAAGCAUCUUAGUCAGCGAAGGAAAAGAAACCAACAGGGAUUGCCCUAGUAACGGCGAGUGAAGCGGCAACAGCUCAAAUUUG
rnacentral:rRNA from 1 species